AUUCCAACUAAAAUAAAUAAGAAGAGAACAAAGAAAUUAAAAAAAAAUAGAGAAAAAAGGAAAAAAAGACCUCUCUGUUCUUAUUUCUUCUUCAUCUACCACUACCCUUCUCUCUAUAACUCACCAUAUCUCUGUUUUUCUCUGUUCCGUAUCUGUACUUUGUUUUCAGUCACUGAAGAUAUGGUGAAGAGCCUUAAAGUAGAUCCUCUUGCCAAGGUCACUGCCUCCACCACUUCCAUGAAGAGCCCAUCAGAGCCAUAUUAUGAAAUUCUUGAGACGUAUCAAGGCCUGCCUUGUCCAUAUGGUGGCUACUAUGGAUUCUACUAUCCAGGUCUUGAUGGUUCAGUUGGAGAAGCAAAGGAUAAUGGAUACUAUGGUUAUGGAACAGAAGUUCAGUACCCGGUUAUGCAAGGGGAAGAUGGAUCUUUAAUGUACAUGAUGCCAGGGUUUCAAUCUUAUGAUGCUAGUCCCACUUAUAUGCCUAUAACCACGGGUAGUGUGUCAAGUCAGGCUCUUCGUUCACCCAUGUAUGCAGCUCAAGGAUAUUAUCAGAACCAAUAUGGCUAUGGAGAUGUUUCAUCGCCCAACUAUUUAUGGGACCCUAUUGGAGACAAGUAUGUGUAUGGUGUAGCUUCAAGUAACCAACCUUUGAAACAUAACACAUCUUCUUCCAGUCAUAACCAUAGCAGUUAUUACCCAAAGAGCAAGACUUCCUAUGGCAUGGGAGAUAGGCCUAAAACACCGCGAAAAAACAGCUAUGCUCCACUCCCAAUACAUAAUGAAACAGAGAAGGUGAAAGCGAGAAACAAAGAUAAUGUUAAUAGUACUGAAGGAGAAUGUGAGUCCUGUGUAGGUUAUGUGAUCAAAAGGGAUCAGUAUAACCUCCCUAGCUUUCAGACCAAGUAUGAAGAAGCAAUGUUCUUUGUGAUAAAAUCAUAUAGCGAAGACGACAUUCACAAGAGCAUCAAGUACAAUGUUUGGUCUAGUACUCUCAAUGGGAACAAGAAGUUAGACAGUGCAUAUCAAGAAUCUCAAAAGAAGGUUGCAGAGAAAGGUGGAACGUGCCCGGUCUUCCUCUUCUUCUCGGUGAAUGCAAGUGGUCAGUUUUGUGGUGUAGCUGAGAUGACUGGGAGAGUGGAUUAUGAGAAGAGCAUGGAGUUUUGGCAGAAAGAUAAGUGGACUGGCUAUUUUCCUGUCAAGUGGCACAUAAUCAAAGAUGUUCCAAAUCCGCAGUUACGCCAUGUAAUACUAGAGAACAAUGAGAGCAAGCCUGUAACAAAUAGUAGAGACACACAAGAGGUGAGGUUGCCACAAGGGAAUGAAGUGUUGGACAUCUUCAAGAACUAUGCAGCAAAGACAUCUAUAUUAGAUGAUUUCGAUUUUUAUGAAAACAGAGAGAAGGUUUUGGUUCAGAAGAAGCUAAGGUUACAUCCGGUUCAGAUAAAGAAGAAAGAAGAAGCAGACUUGGUUGCUGACUUCAAAUCAAUGGAGAUAUCAAAUACAUUCAAAGAGGAGACACAGACUUAACAGCAACUGUGAACUAACUAGGAGAAGCUGUCGUGUUUUGGUUUGGAAUUUAUUACAAGAGAAGAAAUAAUUAACGCAGCGGCUACUUUUAUGGAUGUUGCCGGUGUUUAUCCGAUCGCUGAAAAAAACAGCGUCAACUGAAUUGGUUGUUACGGCUGUUUUUAUGGCCGCUGCGUUUAAUUUUCCGGUGUCGUUGACUUGCUCUCCACAUACCUAAGGAAAAAGUAACCUAUAAUUUUUGACGCUGGCCGCUAACGCUGCGUUCCUCAAAAGAACAGGGCUAAUGUUACUUUUGAGUGAGCCUCAUUUUUGACUAUUGUUACCACUUACUAGUCACCACGUUAUAUGGCACCCAAGUGAAUAGUAUCUGUGUUGUGUUAUUGCAAGUGAAUUUGAAUAAAGCAUAAGCUUUUGUUUUGUUGAUCGACAUUUAUCAAUUAUCAUACAUUCUUUUAA